rnacentral:rRNA from 1 species
GACGAACGCUGGCGGCGUGCUUAACACAUGCGAGUCGAACGGAAAGGCCCUGCUUUUGUGGGGUGCUCGAGUGGCGAACGGGUGAGUAACACGUGAGUAACCUGCCCUUGACUUUGGGAUAACUUCAGGAAACUGGGGCUAAUACCGGAUAGGAGCUCCUGCUGCAUGGUGGGGGUUGGAAAGUUUCGGCGGUUGGGGAUGGACUCGCGGCUUAUCAGCUUGUUGGUGGGGUAGUGGCUUACCAAGGCUUUGACGGGUAGCCGGCCUGGGAGGGGGACCGGCCACAUGGGGACUGAGAUACGGCCCAGACUCCUACGGGAGGCAGCAGUGGGGAAUAUUGCACAAUGGGCGGAAGCCUGAUGCAGCAACGCCGCGUGCGGGAUGACGGCCUUCGGGUUGUAAACCGCUUUCGCCUGUGACGAAGCGUGAGUGACGGUAAUGGGUAAAGAAGCACCGGCUAACUACGUG